GCUCAGCCAUCUCUCC
rnacentral:tRNA from 1 species